GGUGGCUCAGUGGUAGAGUGCUUGCCUUAUAAGCAUGAGGCCCUGGGUUCAAUUCCUCAGCACCA
rnacentral:tRNA from 1 species